GAAAAUUGCCCAUCUAAUCUUCUCUCUCUCGUCCACAUAUUUUUGAUUCAGCUAUUAAGUAAGAAAUGUAUAUCUUUUUGCCAAGGUACGUCUCAGAUUUCUGUAUGUUUUCAUCUCUUCCUCAAUAUCAAAUCUUUAUUUCAUAAACGCUGUUAGAAGUUAUUUCAUAAACACUGUUAGAAUAGCAUUCCAUAAAAUCAGAAAACCAUCCUUGGUUUUGCUUACAUGACUGUUUGGUGUACCAAAAUAGUCGAUAUUCUCCACAAUUUCUACUCCAAAAAAAAACCCUACAACACCUUCAUUUGAACACAAUGAUAUGUUUAGAAUCCAAGAGAUCAGCUUGUGCGUACAAAACAAACCACAAAACUAUCAGUUUUAGCCUUCACUAUUGCUAAUUUUGUCUUUUUUUUUUUUUUUGGCAGGGUACACAACAAGAGCCAUGUUGUAAAAUCAUUACAAAAGCAUCCGACAUCGUUCAGCGUAUGGGAUGAUACUGUGUAAUACCUCGUUUUGGUGGCAACUUCCUCAAAAUGAAAAGGACCAGAGAUGAAGGUAAUAUCUCCACCAACUGCUCAGCAAAAGAAACCGAGUCACUUAAAAUAUAGUUCAUUCUCUUAUUUGUAAUCAACACUAAGAAACAAAUACACCUUUUAAUUUCGAACACAACACGAAAAUAACUAAAAGAUCACACAAAUCACAAGACAACCACCAAAAAAAUUUUGAAAUAUAGCAAUUCCUAUCAAUUUUGGUAGCAAAAAGUAGAUAAUUGCUAGGUAGCUCAUACAUGAAUAUAGUGGUGCACAUGGAUACUUCACUUAAAAAAGUAAAACCAGUUCUUCAUUCAAUUUCCCCUCUAUUAAAGCCCCUUAGUCUAGCAUUCUCAGGUUCCUCUUUUUUACCCGAUUUACCAUCAUUGCUAUCCACAUAUCUGAUACCCAGCAAACAAUUAUUAUUCACAUGCCUAAAAUUUAAAAUUUUUAUAUAAUGGGUCUUAGUAGUGUAUAAAAUAAUGGUAGGGAGAUUUUUGCACUCUAAUUGUUUCAUUCAGUUUUCUUGUAAACUUGAAACUGCUCAUUGCUCGGUAGGUAGACACUGACUUAGCCUGUGAUUAUUGUCUAUAUUGAAGUAAUAGAUAAAUAAAGCAUUUGACUAAUAGAUAAAUAGUAUGACAAAUUCCACUCAGAGCCAAAUCACACGUAGUGCAAGACAUAUGUGUUGGUUAUAUUAAAAAAUAAGUACACAUUCAACAAUAAAAUCAGAAUGAUGGUUGCGAUAAUAAAUCUAUUUUAUUAAUUAAACAAAAUGAAAAGAACAAAUUUCUCAAAUAAUAAGAAUACAGUUGUUCAAUUUCAUUAGUUAAAAUUGAAAAACCUAAGAUGUCUAGCAGACGCAAGUCUCAAAUAUCAGUGAAACUAUGCAAGUAAAAUUAUUAAACCUAAACUCCAAGGGCUAGUUUGCAAUGAGGAUAAAAGUUGGGUGAUGGAACUCUAGCCGACUUAAUCGUUAUGUGGUGUUAAAACAACCUCCUGCUCUUCAAAAAGUCAUAAAAGUUUUAUUAAAGCAGACCACAAAACAUUCUUUGACAUAACAAUCUGAUGUCAAAGACUUGUAAAUUGGUUACUGAACUAUCAGUUUCCUGAAAUAUACAUUCCUAUUUAACUAAAAAAAAAGUAUGAAGCAAAAAAAUGAGGCAAUUGCAGCAAAAUUUUCAGUUUUCAUAUGGCAAUAACAUGAGUUGGCAACCUUCACACUGUUUCAGUAGGAAUCUCUUAAACAGUAUCAAUAAGCAACAUGACAGAACUAUUUAUCUAACUUACCAGGUAAUAUAUGAGGUUUAGAACUGGAUGGUUCAAAACAUCAAGGUCAGCAGCUUUGUCAAAUGCAUUAAAGCACAUCUAGACAAAAAAUAACAUUAGAGAUCAAAUUUUAUAAACUUUGGACAAAUAACCAAUGAUUAAUCAAUUAGAUAGUGAUCUAAAUCUAAACCAUAUAGCAGCUAAAGGUUCAACUAGAAUACAUUCAUUUUGUAGCAAAAGCCCUUAUAACACUAUAUGUAUCUAAAAGUUUCUAAGGUCUAAGAAAACAUGCUUAAAGCAUGUCAGUUUGAAACAUGUAGAUAGUAAAGCCAGAAAGUAAGGAAGAGAUCUACCAUAAUGCAUCUGACUAGGAAACAUAAGAAGCAAAUGGUGGUCACAUAACCAACCUGCCCAAGCCAAAAAUAAAUAACAAUUAAAUAUUGUCAAUAAAAGGAAAAUUUACUGGAAAAAAAACCACGACUACAGAGUAAAUAUGUACUUCUUGCAGCUUCUUACGCCGCCCUUUGGACUCUACAGGAAAGCGCUGCAACAUUAAGAAAAGCCUGCAAGGAAAUAUAUGAUUAUAUAGCUUUUCCAUGCAAUAUGCAUACAAAUCAUAUGAAAUGCAUCACAUUAAUUGCAAAAAGCAUACAGGUGAGUGGAAUUCAAUAUUUUAAAAGAAUAAAAAAAUUCAAAUACCAAGAAAGCAUUUCAUAAUUUUAAAAAGAUAAUAAAUGUAUCGAAAAUAAGGAAAUGCUAUUUCUGUUAUCACAAGAUCCCAAACCCCUUAAGCCACUUUAAUACGCAGUAUCUACAUUAUAUAUAUUGAAUUAGCUUGAGGACCAAGAUGUCCUGGACAUUAUGCUAAACCUGUAGAUCAGAAGAAAGACCUAUUAACAAAGAAGAUGAAGAGCUACAAAUAGAAGGCACAAUUUCGAAUUACAUAGGAAAGACAAUGAUAUGCCAGUUUCAGCAUGCAGCCUAAAAGUAAAACCAAAUACUCACACAAAACUUGACCUUAUGCCAUUAAAACAAUUAGAAACAGAACAACAAAUAGAACAUAAUUACCUUCCACCAUAUAGUAAAAACCCAAGGGCUGCAAACAAUGAUACACCUGCUCAUACACAUGUCACGUUAAAUAAUUUCAUUCAUUACUGAAAAUUUUUAACUACCAUGAGAUUAAUGUCUACAAAUCAUCUAAAAUUACUAAGGUUCCAUUUGCUAAAUGCUUCUCUUUUUUUCUUUUUCUUUUUCUUCUUUUUUUUUUUCAAAAAGUAAAUGAAUAGGAAAAGAAAAAAUAGCAAAAAAAAAUGUCUAUUUGAAAGAAUGUCUUGGAAAACGCUUGGAAACACUCUCAGCACAAAUUACCAUGUCUAUUUCCACUUGAGAUUUUUAAGCAAGUCUUGACUGGUUCUAAUAGAUUUGUGGUUCUUGAAACUGUAAAUUUGGUGGAAGAUCAAAUUACAGAUAGUCGAAACAGAGAGAUCUGAACAUAUUGAGAUUGGGAAAAUUGCCCACGGGGAAGCUGAGUCUAUAGAUCUUGUUGAUAUGGGUGUUUCUCCUAAGAAACCUAGAGCUGCAAUUGCUGGAGCAGCUGACUUAGUAAAAAGCUUGAAGAGUAAAAGAAAUUUGCAAAUUUCAAAGGGGAAAUAAGAUAAUAGUAGCUGCCUAUGGAAGUUUACCAGCUAGCUCUAAAGCAUGAAUUGUUUUGUGUGGAAUGUCAGAGGGCUUAAUAAACCUCUGAAGCAACAUGCAGUGUAUAAUAGAAUUAAAGAUAACAGGGCUAGGGUUGUUUGUUUGAUUGAAACUAGAGUAAAGCAUAAUCAGAGGAGGGCCAUUCUUGAAAAAUGGUUCAAUGGUUGGAAGUCUUUUCACAAUUAUGUUGAAGCUGAUAAUGGGAGGAUCUGGGUUCUAUGGAAAGACUAUCUUCAAUUGUCUUUGGUGUGUACUACUGAUCAAAGCAUCACAGCCAGCUUUAGUGCAGAUAAUUACCUUCUUUUCUUGACUGCCAUUUAUGGAAGGAAUAUGGGUAGUGAGAGGAAAAGGCUUUGGAAGCAUUUGCAAGGAUUGCAUCAACUUGUGGCAGAUCAUUCAUGGAUCCUUGUUGGCGACUUUAAUGUCAUAGCAAGCUCUUUUGAAAGCUCUGAUUUCAGGGUACCUCUAACCUGACUCUGGUUGUUUUGGUCCCAAAGAAGCAGAAUGCUAGCAGCAUUAAGGAUUACAGACCAAUUUCGUGUUGCAUUGUUUUUUAUAAAUGCAUCACCAAGGUAUUGGGUAUGAGGCUCACCAAAUUUCUUCCUAGUAGCAUUACUAGAAACCAAAGUGCUUUUGUUCUAGGGAGGAGCAUUAGUGACAAUAUUCUACUGGCCCAGAAGCUUGUUAGGGGUUAUAAUAGAUGCACCUUGUCACCUAGAUGUACUUUGAAAAUUGAUCUCCAAAAAGCCUUUUGACUCUCUUAAUUGGCAGUUUAUUCUUGCUGCUUUGGCUACUUUGGGAUUCCCUAGUCAAUUUGUUAGUUCAAUAGAGAAGUGCAUCACUAAGGCUCGAUUUUCAAUUUCAGUAAAUGGGGGUUUGAUUGGCAAAAUUAGAGGUGCUAGGGGAGUAGGACAAAGGGAUCCACUUUCCCCUUACCCUUUUGUGAUUGCCAUGCAUGUUCUGUCAAAAUUACUUGAUGUUGCUGCAUUUUCUGGGUUGUUUAGCUACCAUUCAAAAUGCCAUAAGCUUAGGUUGACUCAUUUAAGCUUUCCUGAUGACUUAUUAAUUUUCUCUAAAGGAAAUUUGGAGACAGUAGUGGGAAUACAAUGUGUUUUGCAGCAGUUUUAUUUCUUCUCAGGCGUAUAAUUAAAUCCUGCCAAGAGUGAGAUUUUUUUCUUCAGGAAUCUCAGAAGAGGAUCUUCAACAUAUCUGCAGUCUUACUGGGUUUAAAAGAGGUCCUGGAAAAUUGACAGUGGCCGAUUGCUCUCCAUUGAUUGAGAAGAUAAAGGAUAGGAUUAAAGGAUGGACAACUAGACAUCUUUCUUAUGCUGCAAGAAUUUCAUUCAGUCUGUUUUAAUCAACAUGCAAAAUUUUUGGUGUAGACAUUUUAUUUUCCCAAAAGGUGUUCUUCAAGCUAUUAAUCUUUGCCUCAAAUUUUUCUGGAAAGGGCAAAAUAUGGAUGCUAAAGGUGCAAGAGUGGGAUGGUCUACAACUUGCAAACCUAAAUCAGAGGGAGGGU
rnacentral:lncRNA from 1 species